GACCGAGGGUGCAAGCGUUGUUCGGAAUUACUGGGCGUAAAGCGCGUGUAGGCGGCUAAGUAAGUCGGGCGUGAAAUCCCACGGCUCAACCGUGGAAGUGCACUCGAAACUGCAUAGCUAGAGUCCUGGAGAGGAAGGUGGAAUGCUUGGUGUAGAGGUGAAAUUCGUAGAUAUCAAGCGGAACACCGGUGGCGAAGGCGGCCUUCUGGACAGUGACUGACGCUGAGACGCGAAAGCGUGGGUAGCAAACAGG
rnacentral:rRNA from 1 species